UACAGAGGUCCCAAGCGUUGUUCGGAUUCACUGGGCGUAAAGGGUGCGUAGGCGGUUGGAUAAGUCUAGCGUGAAAUCUCCGGGCCUAACCCGGAAACUGCGUUGGAUACUAUUCGGCUAGAGGAAUGGAGGGGAGACUGGAAUACUUGGUGUAGCAGUGAAAUGCGUAGAUAUCAAGUGGAACACCAGUGGCGAAGGCGAGUCUCUGGACAUUUCCUGACGCUGAGGCACGAAAGCCAGGGGAGCAAACGGG
rnacentral:rRNA from 1 species